rnacentral:lncRNA from 1 species
UUUUUUCUUUUCUUUUUUUUUUUUGAGACGGAGUUUCACUCUUGUCACCUAGGCUGGAGUGCAAUGGUGUGAUCUUGGCUGACUGCAGCCUCCACCGAAUCAAGCAUUUCUCCUGCCUCAGACUCCCAAGUAGCUAGGAUCAUAGGCGAGUGCCACCAUGCCCGGCUAUUUUUUGUAUUUUUAGUAGAGAUGAGGUUUCGCCAUGUUGGCCAGGCUGGUCUCGAACUCCUGACCUCAGGUAGUCAGCCUGCCUCGGCCCCGCAAAGUGCUGGGAUUACAGGCGUGAGCCACCACACCCGGCCUAUGCAUCCUUAUUUCUAAAACCAUGAGAAAAGGUGGAAGUUUGAAUGCAUGGGUGUGUGACACUUUGAUGCUCCUUUGCUCAUGUAGAACCAGCACUUCUCUUUCACCUGAGCACGUGGAAUCUUCAGAGCCAGAUGAUGGUGGCUGCCUGGCCUCCCAUAGUCAAUGCUGCCCGGGCACCUCUGCCUGGAGGGUCUGGGUUGUGGGCUGCAGUUAUGACAUGUGACCACUUGGAGGCGGGCUUGCAUCUUUCUAGCUUCUGGCUGCUCAGGUGUCCUGCUGUGGAGCUGUGCUGUGCUCCCUGAAGGGCAGAAAGUUACUCUGUGUGCCCCUAUGCCAUCACAGAACCAGGACCUUCAACUUCGUCACACCCACAGUGGCCCAGGCCAGGACUCCCACCGUCUAGGGAAGCCUCUCCCAUGGAAAAGAUUGGGGCUCCAACAUCUUCCUGCAGAUGUAAAGAAAGACAUCUCAGAAGUCUACGGGGACAGCCCACAGCUCCCCACAGGAUUGCUCCAGGUAGCCCCGGAAGGUGAAUGCUGAGCAGGCCCCAGUCCCCAUCCUAGGUAUGGAACAGAUCAAACCGCCAUAGGCCUAUGUCUGACCUUCUUGUCCCCACCCCAUGCUCCUCUGGCACCUGUGUCCUUCUCUUUGCAGGAGAAGGGACAGACAGAGGUUCUCGGUGAUGAGCUCAGGCUCUGGAAGGGCAGUUGAAGUUUGGCUUUAGUUCUUCCUUUCCCAUAUAGGGUAGCUCAGCUGCCGGGGGCCUGGGCCUGCUGUGACCCAGGUUGACACCCCUGAUAUAACUGCUUCCUGGGCUCUCAUGAUCUCAGCUGAGCCUGGCUUUCUGCUGAUGACAUUUGUUUGUUGCUU